AUUGAACGCUGGCGGCAGGCCUAACACAUGCAAGUCGAGCGAGUGGCGGACGGGUGAGUAAUGUCUGGGAAACUGCCUGAUGGAGGGGGAUAACUACUGGAACCGGUAGCUAAUACCGCAUACCAUCAGAUGUGCCCAAAUGGGAUUAGCUAGGAGGUGGGGUAAUGGCUCACCUAGGCGACGAUCCCUAGCUGGUCUUAGAGGAUGACCAGCCACAAUGGAACUGAGACACGGGCCAGACUCCGACGGGAGGCAGCAGUGGGGAAUAUUGCACAAUGGGCGCAAGCGUGAUGCAGCCAUGCGGCGUGUAUGAAGAAGGCCUUCGGGUGGGAAAGUACUUUCAGCGAGGAGGCGUUACUCGCAGAAGAAGCACCGGCUAACGCCGUGCCAGCAGCCGCGGUAAUAC
rnacentral:rRNA from 1 species